rnacentral:rRNA from 1 species
UACGAAGGGGGCUAGCGUUGCUCGGAAUCACUGGGCGUAAAGGGCGCGUAGGCGGCGUGACAAGUCACUUGUGAAAUCUCCGGGCUUAACCCGGAGCGGUCAAGUGAUACUGUCGUGCUAGAGUGCGGAAGGGGCUACUGGAAUUCUCGGUGUAGCGGUGAAAUGCGUAGAUAUCGAGAGGAACACCUGCGGCGAAGGCGGGUAGCUGGGCCGACACUGACGCUGAGGCGCGAAAGCCAGGGGAGCGAACGGG